UUUAAUAGCAUUUUUAUACUGCUGACUCCAUAAGAAGUCUUGACGAUUUACAAACAGCUGCAUAAAAUUCAUUCAACUAGUAGUCACAAGGCCCAGGAUCACCUUACACUAAACUAGAGAUGGGAGGAUCCUAGCUUCAGACCAUGUUGUCAUCAACACUAUCUUGGAGGCCCUGUCAAUUGUUUGUACAGCAAGGUUUAUCUUGGAAGAAGAGUGCCAUUAAAACAUCACUUUAACAGCAGAGCAACUAAAGCGAGCUUCAGCUAUCCCUGCAGCUGGCUAGAGGUGAAACUUAACAACAUUUUAAUUGUUUUCAUUCUAAAAAGAAAAGUGAUUUAUUUCAUCUUAAAUUCUAGUUCUUUUGGGGUUUUUUUGCCAGGAGAUGCCAACAGAGAGGAAAUGUAGUACAAGGUGCUGAAGGACAAAUAUGAAAAGUACCAGAAAGCCAUCAGCAGAGUGAAGACUGUAUCAUACAUGAUAGAGGUCUCAAAAGAAACUGAGAAGACAAAAGAACCGGUAAGUGCUCAGGAGCAGACAAUUGAUGACGUCUGCUCCCAUCUCGUAUCUCUACCCAUCUGGGGAAGAAGACCAAGAUGGUAAGAUUUGUCCUUCUGUUUCUUGGAGACAAAUAGAGGUAUUUCAAUUGAUGGCUUUCUACUUCGUUCUAAAAUAUUUGUUUAACGUUUUUCAGGCUCUGCAAGAAAACAGUCCAAAGAAACACCUGAUUGCAUACAAAAGUAUCUAGGUGUCAAGGUAACAAGGUUACUUUGUAUUCCAAUCAAGAAGAUGAUGAUUCCCAAUCACAGGUCGUAGUGGGGACGGACGAAAUUUUCCACGUUCAUGAAGAGAGAGAAAGACGAGAGCAAUUAGAGUCUAAGAAUAUUCUCAGGAUUUCUCAGUGAAUUCAAAGACACCUGUACUCCAUUUUGGGACUCCCUCUGUUUAUGGCUUAAUCCAACCUGGGACAACCAGGACUGGCUGGAUUGCUGUGGCUAAGAGAUGCAGUCAUGUGGCAUCAGAUUUUACACCUCUUCAUUUAACAACAACAGCGGCAAUUGGUCCAAAUUUGAUACAAUUUGAAAUUGUAACAUGAUGACUAUCUUUAUUAGGAAAAUUCUCUUUCACCACCAAUGAUGCUCCUGAAGAAAUUGCUUUUGGAAUCCACUUCUUGUCUGGAGAUCACAGUCAGGAAAAGGCUUCCAGCAAUUUGAAUGUGAUACAGGUGGUCGUGCCUUGCAAGUUUCUGUCCUGAGUACCUGGGAUGUUAAGAGAAGAAGAACUCAAGAACACCCAGAUGGAAGACAUCAAGCAUCCUUUGGGCAACAUCCAUUCCAGCCAAGUUAAUAUGUUCCAUCUGGGCAAAUGUUCAACCUCCUCCUCACUAGAGGAGACAGACGAACAGAGUCUCUGCCAUAAAAAUAUUGUGAGACGUAAUUAAAAGAGACGCAUACCAGCUUGGUCAUUGCCCAGGUUACAGGAACUGUGUUAGGUUUUGGAGUUCCUGGACAUUUGGUGGAAAAUGUCCAGGACUCAUGGCUUCUGACUGAGUAACCAGGGCCAGCAGCCUUAGAAGAAGUAACUCAAAUUGUAAAGGCAAACCAGGGGGAAUUGGCAGUAGAAGAAGCCAGCACAGCUAUUGAAUUGUUUAUAUUUGGAAACCAGGACUCUAUUCUUUGCCUCAGAAACCACAAAGCUCUCUAAUGAAAGUAGUAGAAGAAUUGAAACAAAGAAUCACUGAGCAUUCACAAAAACACAGAAUAAGGUUGCCUGCACUGAAGCCUCCAAAGAAGUUCCAAAGUAACAGCUAGCACAAGCAUUGAAAGAUGCCAAUACUGUAAUAGCAAAUAUAAACACCAGCUCACUGCAAGAAACAUCCAACUCAUAUAAAGCAUAGCUGCAGUUAUAACUGAAUACCUGGGAUGCAACAUCAAUAAAGAGGAAAAACAGCUAAAUGGUACACUACCAAAAUGGAAGAUCGGGCUGGAAAAUAAGAUCGGCAAGCUGUGAUCAGAUGCAAGCACGAACAGAUGAAAAAACAGAACCUGAAGAACAAGACCAAAUAAUACUGGGUCAAGAAAUAUCACCUAAAAACAAGGAAGAUCAAGGAAUAAUUGGAAAUAAUAAAGCAGCAAAUAACAGCUACAGCCAAGAAGAUCAGCAGAAUGAAGUUACAAUCCCAAAUUACAGGCAAAGUGUCCAAUUUCAAUCCAAUCAGAAACAUUUCUACCAAUCCAUCAAUUGAGAUAAUGCAUUGAAACAAUCAACACUUGACAAGGAAGACACAGUGCAAUUUUGGAUGCAGACAUGAGAUAAGCCAAAGAAAUAUGAUAAGACAACAGCUUGGCUAAAGGGGGUGGAUAAUAAUUUUUUUAAAAAGACUGAAAUGAAAGAAUUUGUAAUAGCAACAGAAAUGGUGGAAAAAAGCAAAGAAGAUCAAUAAUUGAUCAACACCAGAUUGAUUGAUUGAUUGAUUGAUUGAUUGAUUUGUCAUAUUUCUAUGCCGCCCACUCUCCGAGGACUCUGGGCAGCUUACACCAAAGACAGUAUACUAAAUAGCAUAUUGCCCCCAACAAUCUGGGUCCUCAUUUUACCCACCUCGGAAGGAUGGAAGGCUCAACCUUGAGCCGGUGAGAUUUGAUCUGCUGAUCUGCUGAACUAGCAGUCAGCUGAAGUAGCUCCAGUACUGCACUCUAACCACUACACCACCUCGGCUCUUGAUGAAGAUGAACUACAUGGUUUUUGGUUGAAAAACCUGACUGGAAAAAUCCAGCAAAAGGGGAGCACCUGGCAACUGCAGGCCAAUUACCUGUUUACUAACAACUUUCAAAUUGCUAACAUUUGGUAACUAAUACAGUCCAACAUGUCUAGCUGAGAAAAAGUUAUUUCCACCUGAGCAGAAAGAAAACUGCCCCAACAAUAGAGGAACAAAAAUUCAGCUCCUGGUUGACAAAAGGAUUCUGGGAAACUGGAAGAAAAGCAAGACCAAGUUGAAUGUAGUACGGAUUAAUUACAAGAAGGCACUUGAUUCCAUGCCACAUGAUUGGAUAAUCAAGUGCCUAGAAAUAACACAAGUCAAUAGAAACAGCAGAAGCUUUGCCCAAGAUCUGUGGCACAAUGGAAAAUAUUACAAAUCAAUGGUGAGAGAAUGAGAGAGAUUAGUAUCAAAAGCGGAAUAUUUCAGGGAGAUAUGUAUCACCAUUACUAUUUGUUAUUGCACUGAUUUCUCUGUCAAAAAUAUUGAAUAACUCAGGCCAUGUCUCUCAAACAUCAAAACAUCUGCCAGACUACCCUAUAUCCUUUAGAGGGACAAUCUGAAGCUGCAUGGAAAAAGCCCAUCUGAAAUAGAAUAACAGCUGGACACUGUCGCCACCCUCACCAUCAAAUGGGGAAAAAUAGUGAAAAGUGAAGGAAUCAACAUGCCCUACGGAAAUCACAUCAAGAGUCUGGAUGAAGAUGAUCACUACAAAAUAUCUGAGCAUCCUUCAAGCUGACAACAUCAAGCACACUGAAGUCAAGAAAAACGUUAGAAGUGAAUACAUGAGGAAAGUGAAGAAGAUCCUAAAGUCCAAAUUCAGUGGAGGAAAUAUACCACCAAGGCAAUCAAUGCCAGGGCAAUUCCAGUCAUUAGAUACAAAGCUGGAACAGUGGGCUGGACUGUAGAAGAACUAAAGGCCCUGGAUAGGAACACCAGAUGGAUAAUGAAAAUGAUUCAUGCCCUUCAUCCAUACAGCAAUGUUGACAGACUCUAUUUACCAAGAAAAUGAGUGGGUGAGGAAAGUUGCAAGUAGCUCAGAUGAUAGAAGAAGAAAAAGAGCAUUGGAAGAAUAUCUGAAGGGUAUUGAAGAAAAUACACUGAAGUUAGAACACCGGGAAGGCUUACUGAAUACUAGAGAGACCAAAGUGGCGUACAAGAAUGACCAAAUGAAGAACAGAAAAGAGCUAUGGAAAGACAAUGCAUUACAUGGCCAUUAUAUUAAACAAAACAGCAGGCAAAGCAGAUAGUAACAAGAUCGGGCAAUGCCUGAGAGCAGGAAAGUUGAAUAAAGAGACAAAGCUGCAUAAGACCAAGCCUUAAGAGCAAAUGCAUAGAAAGAUAGAAUUAAGAAGAAAGGGAGAAAAAUCACAAAAUACAAAGAUCCUGCAAAUAGAAUUUGAAUAAUUGUAGUAAAAGAAAGCAGAAGUUCCUGUCCUUCAGGGACAGAUUUUGCUGAAGAACAGGAACUUUAGAUCAUGAAUUCAUUUUACAAGAAAAAGGCUAGCAGAAAAUGGACAUGGGUACACAAGCGAAAUUGACUGUAUCAUGUCAAGCGAUAAAACCAUAUUCUGCAAUUUGUAUUGUCAUCAAUUGCUCUAAUGUUGGAAGUGACCAUAAAGUGGUACAAGUUAAAGUGAAGAUAGACUGUUAAAUGAGAGUGCAUGAACAUGAUAAAGAUGUCAGGAAGAACUAAAAUAAAGAGUGAGAAAUGAUUAGAAAAGCACAGUGAUUUUGAGAUUAAUUUAUCAAACUGCUUCGCUGUAUUGCAAGAUUUGGAAAAGAUGAACAUUACAGAUUGAAAUGAACAAAUAGUCAAAAAUAUCCUCAAAUCUGCUAUAUCUAUAGCACCGCCGGAAAAACACUUGUACAGUCAGAAAUCUGUAAUUAAACUAUUGAUUUAAUGAAAAAACAACGGACAAUGAAGAAUACUGGAAGUUUCACUAAUAAAUUGGAUUACAUUGAACUUUACAAGACCAUCAGAAAACAUGUCCAAGAAGAAACACGUCAGUUUAACAUGAAGCUUGUGAAAAAGGCAAUUGAACAAAAGAAAGGGAUUAAUGAGCAUAAAAUACAA